GCCAGGCGUUGUGGCGGGCGCCUAUAGUCCCAGCUACUUGGGAGGCUGAGGCAGGAGACUCUCUUGAGCCCAGGAGUUGGAGGUUGCUGUGAGCAUGAUGCCAUGGCACUCUACCCAGGGGGAUAGCUUGAGGUUCCGUCUCAAAAAAAAAAAAGAGAGACAGAGUCUGAUUUGAUCACACUUAGUAGAGUGCUGUGGCAUCAUAGCUCACAGCAACCUCAAACUCUUGGGCUCAAGUGAUUCUCUUGCCUCUG
rfam:Otolemur garnettii contig060627, whole genome shotgun sequence.